rnacentral:lncRNA from 1 species
UUUAAGUGGCAGUUGCAAACAACAAUUGUGUGUUUGCUUCAAUAAUUUCGGUCCAAUUUCAAAAGAAAUUCUUUUCCAAGAGUGUCCAUUUAAAAAAAAAAAAAGAAAAUAGAAGGAAAUUCUAAAUCAGCUAACAAUAAAUGACAUUGCUCACAUGUUGUUGUCCACUCCAUUUUCUCACCACCAAUAUAAGCCAUAAGAAAAACCCUACUCCC